GACGAACCGUGCGAACGUUGUUCGGAUUCACUGGGCUUAAAGGGCGCGUAGGCGGACUGUAAAGUCAGGGGUGAAAUCUUUCGGCUUAACCGGAAAACAGCUUCUGAUACUGACAGUCUCGAGGGAGGUAGGGGCAUGCGGAACUGGUGGUGGAGCGGUGAAAUGCGUUGAUAUCACUAGGAACUCCGGUGGCGAAAGCGGCGUGCUGGAUCUCUUCUGACGCUGAGGCGCGAAAGCUAGGGGAGCAAACGGG
rnacentral:rRNA from 1 species